AGGGGUGUAGCUCAGUGGUAGAGCACUUGCCUAACAUGUGUGAGACCCUGGGUUCAAUCCCUAGCACUGCAA
rnacentral:tRNA from 1 species